rfam:Heligmosomoides polygyrus genome assembly, scaffold: HPBE_scaffold0002014
GCGCCGGUGGUGUAAUGGCGUAGAGCAUUCCCGCCCGGUUAGAGGGAGGUGCGGGUUCGAGUCCCGCCUGGUGCU